rnacentral:pre_miRNA from 1 species
UAACUACUCCCUCCAGCCAGAAUUACUUGUCGAAAUAUUACAUGUAUCUAGACGUUUUUUAAACAUAGAUACAUCUAUAUUUGGGCAAAUUUGAGACAAGUAAUAUGGGUCGGAGGGAGUAUCAA